UGAUUACCUGGAUCAGGUGUGUUUGGCCAAUGAGGAGCUUCAAUGUCAGGCCAUCGUCAUGAAACAACCCCGUCUCCCCGUCUGGCCAUCACCAUCACCUGAGUACUAGCCCUCCUGGGUCUCCACACAACUCUUCCCAUCAGCCCCCACUGUCACUCCCAGGAGCCUCUCUAAUGUUUUCCAUCUGCAGUCCGUCCCAGCAGUAUUUAGUCAGAGCUCUGCUCAGUGCGAAGUCUUGUUUGUGCCACUUCUCAUCCUGACAUGAUCUUCCGCUUUGUCUUUGACUCUAAUUGUUUGCCGCCAACCCCCGACCCUCGCCUGGACUCUGACCACUCUGGUUGUUCUCUGAUUCCCUCAUUCUCGUGUUUGACCCCUGCCUGACCCUGAUUUAGCUUUCUGGACUUUAAGGUGUCCUUCACUGCUGAUCUUGAAUAAACCUGCUGCUCUUUGAUCCAGCCGUCUGCCAGUUUGUGGUAUUAGGGUUAGAGGAGGAAUUUGGAUUCAGCCUUAGUGUCUCGUAAGCCCUUUAGUUACACAUUAUUUGUCUUAAAAAUAGUCUAUAUUAAGGGAUUAUCAGGGCCAAUCCAUUACUUUUGAAAGCGUGCAGGUACUUAAACAGUUCUGAAACCGAUAUUUAUUUUUUAUGUUUGUAAUGCUUGAUUUUGUGCCACAGUGUCACAGUUCAGGCAGGAAGACAGGAGCCAAGUGAGGGUCAGGGCAGGCGGCAGGCAAUCCGAAAGGAAGCAGGCUCAGGUCCACAGAAGAUCAGGUCCAGGCCUGGGAACGCCCCCAGAGGAGCUGGAGGAAGUGGCUGGGGACAGGGAAAUCUGGGCAUCUCUUUGAUGGAUGGAUAAUUUUAAAAGGAUUAUGUGACCUUUGCUAUGACAGCUGCUUUAAGCAAUAUUUUAUUUUAUCUUUUAUUAAAGACUGUUCCCACAUUCCAUAAGAAUUCUUGCACAGACAAACAUGAAAACAUCCUUCAUUAUUGCAGCAAUACAUCCUUGUUCCAGCUGUCUGUAAUCUUUACCUUAUUCAAAUACACACACAUUCUACCUGUUA